ACAAAAGAGCGGUUUGGAUUGGGACAUCAGCUGAAAAAAAUCAUGCAGACAUUUGUUUCUCAGCAGUGGAAACAGAGCAAAGAAAAGUCCAAUUGCCCGCACGGUCGCCCAGCUAUCCUCCCCCUGGAUGUGGCAAAAGCAAAUCCAAACUGAAACCCGAACAAGACGGCAUCUCCAAAACUCAUAAGCUGCUGCGGAGGACUUGCUCCAGUACCGUCAAAGCUGACGAUAUGUGUGCCAAGUCGCACAGGACUUUUGGGCGCUCGCUGUCCAGUGAUCCCAGGGCCGAGCAGGCGAUGUCCACCAUUAAAUCGCACAAACUUUUGGGCCGGCCCUGUUCCGCAGCCAGCAAGCAGGAGGACUGCCUCACACUAAAGUCCCAUAAGUUAUUGACUCG
rnacentral:lncRNA from 1 species